CGGGGACCGCAGUUGUCGGUGGCCGCUCCCACCUUCCCUAGAGCCAAACUUUCGGCGGGGCCCGAAGAGGGGAGCUCCGCUGAAAGAAGCGCUGCUGAGGGUGUUUGCGGAGAGGAGAAGAGGAGGGGGAGAGGCUAGCGCGGCGGUUCCCCACCCGGUGCUGGCCCCCUCGCAAGUCCGGACACGACCCCUCCCUUCCCAAACAGCCCCCUUCUGCGACUGAUGGAUGAAUCCUUGUCUCUGUGACCCCCCGCACUUAACCCCCUCCCCCCAAAAUUU